rnacentral:rRNA from 1 species
CUUCCAGGAAAAGCCUCUAAGCAUCAGGUAACAUCAAAUCGUACCCCAAACCGACACAGGUGGUCAGGUAGAGAAUACCAAGGCGCUUGAGAGAACUCGGGUGAAGGAACUAGGCAAAAUGGUGCCGUAACUUCGGGAGAAGGCACGCUGGUGUGUAGGUGAAGCCCCUGCGGGUGGAGCUGAGACCAGUCGAAGAUACCAGCUGGCUGCAACUGUUUAUUAAAAACACAGCACUGUGCAAACACGAAAGUGGACGUAUACGGUGUGACGCCUGCCCGGUGCCGGAAGGUUAAUUGAUGGGGUUAUCCGUAAGGAGAAGCUCUUGAUCGAAGCCCCGG